GCGGGAGUAGCUCAGUUGGUAGAGCAUCACGUUGCCAACGUGAAUGUCGCGAGUUCGAGUCUCGUCUCCCGCU
rnacentral:tRNA from 3 species